rnacentral:rRNA from 1 species
UGGGGAAUAUUGGACAAUGGGCGAAAGCCUGAUCCAGCGACGCCGCGUGUGUGAAGAAGGCCUGCGGGUUGUAAAGCACUUUCGAUGGGAACGAAAUGUGUCGGGCUAAUACCCCGGCAAGCUGACGUUACUCAAUGAAGAAGCACCGGCUAACUCUGUGCCAGCAGCCGCGGUAAUACAGAGGGUGCGAGCGUUAAUCGGAAUUACUGGGCGUAAAGCGCACGUAGGUGGCGACGUAAGUCGGGUGUGAAAGCCCCGGGCUCAACCUGGGAAUUGCAUUCGAGACUGCAUCGCUGGAGUACGGAAGAGGAGGGCGGAAUUCCCGGUGUAGCGGUGAAAUGCGUAGAUAUCAAGAGGAACACCUGAGGUGAAGACGGGUUGCUGGGCUGACACUGACGCUGAGGCGCGAAAGCCAGGGGAGCAAACGGGAUUAGAUACCCCCGUAGUCCCUGAGCGGGCUGGCAAGGCGCAU